UAGUUCAACAAAUCACUCAUGUUUAUGUGGCCUCAAGGAAUGUGGCCUUGAUCU
ensembl:misc_RNA